ACACUGAUAAACAAAAGCAUGCAGGGUCUUCCUCGGGGACAACUGACAGCCCAGGAAGCAAAUAGUGCUCACUGCGCAUGUGCAAUGGUAUUUUGGAAGACAGACUGGAACAGAUUUCUUUGAAGUUUAGAUGUAGAGCAAGGCCAGCAAUCUGGAUACCGGUGAAGUUGUCGAGGCCAUGGCAAGACUCUCCUGUGAUGAUCCUGGUAUAGAAGCUCGUUGAAAGAAUAUUAAAAAGAACAUGUCAAGUGGCUGGACUGGUGGUUGCAGUUAUUAUAGUAAUCAUUGCAUUGACAGCUACAGCAGCAACAGCUGGAUUGGCGCUUCAUAAAGAAAUCCAAACCGCUGAAUUCAUUAGAGACUGGCAUAAACGGAAGAACUUUGGACUGAACAAAGUAAGACUGAUAAUGAAAUAGUAAAUGAAUUAGCUGAGUUAAGGCAAGCUGUUGUAUUGUUAGGGGAUCAGUUAGAAAUUCUGAAGGAGCAGAUAAAAUUAAAAUGUGA